GGCUCAGGAUGAACGCUGGCGGCGUGCCUAAUACAUGCAAGUCGAGCGAACAGAUAAGGAGCUUGCUCCUUUGACGUUAGCGGCGGACGGGUGAGUAACACGUGGGUAACCUACCUAUAAGACUGGAAUAACUCCGGGAAACCGGGGCUAAUGCCGGAUAACAUUUAGAACCGCAUGGUUCUAAAGUGAAAGAUGGUUUUGCUAUCACUUAUAGAUGGACCCGCGCCGUAUUAGCUAGUUGGUAAGGUAAUGGCUUACCAAGGCAACGAUACGUAGCCGACCUGAGAGGGUGAUCGGCCACACUGGAACUGAGACACGGUCCAGACUCCUACGGGAGGCAGCAGUAGGGAAUCUUCCGCAAUGGGCGAAAGCCUGACGGAGCAACGCCGCGUGAGUGAUGAAGGGUUUCGGCUCGUAAAACUCUGUUAUUAGGGAAGAACAAACGUGUAAGUAACUGUGCACGUCUUGACGGUACCUAAUCAGAAAGCCACGGCUAACUACGUGCCAGCAGCCGCGGUAAUACGUAGGUGGCAAGCGUUAUCCGGAAUUAUUGGGCGUAAAGCGCGCGUAGGCGGUUUCUUAAGUCUGAUGUGAAAGCCCACGGCUCAACCGUGGAGGGUCAUUGGAAACUGGGAGACUUGAGUGCAGAAGAGGAAAGUGGAAUUCCAUGUGUAGCGGUGAAAUGCGCAGAGAUAUGGAGGAACACCAGUGGCGAAGGCGACUUUCUGGU
rnacentral:rRNA from 1 species